UACUUAGACAUUAAGUUAAAAUUUUUGGUCGCAGUUAAGUGAUAAAAUUUAUAUAUUGGUUAUUAACAAUAAAAGGUAAAAUUAGUUUAUUGUUUUGUAAUGUUUAAAAUUUAUAAUUGAAGCUGAAAAAGUUUAAAUAGAAACUAGGAUUAGAUACCCUAUUAUUUUAAACUGAAAUUUCUAAAGACCAGGUUAGUAAUAGUUAUAUUCUUAAAAAUUAAAAAAUUUGGCGGUGAUUUAAUCUUUCCAGAGGAAUUUGUUUUUUAAUCGAUAAACCACGAAGUAUCUUACUUGUUUUUAUAUAUUUUGUAGUUUGUAUACCAUCAUUAUCAGGUAAUUUUAAAAGAAAAAAUUACUGUAAUUAAAGUUUUUAAAAAAAUUAGAUCAUGGUGCAGCUGAUAGGCAAGUUAAAAUGAAUUACAAUAAAUUUUUUUAUAACGGAUUUAUGAAGUAAAAGUUAUAAUUAAGGAGGAUUUGGUUGUAUUACAAGUUUAAUAGGCUUGUAAGAUAUAAGCUCUAAGUCAUGUACAUAUCGCCCGUCGCUUUCAUUUAUGGAU
rnacentral:rRNA from 1 species